rnacentral:lncRNA from 1 species
UACUGGACAAAAGAUGGUGUAAUAUUUGUGUCUUGGCAGUGAUAAAUCUUUGUGUGGCAGCAAGGUGAAUGUGGAGGUAGUUGAACCAGCCAUGAAAAUCUGGGGAAAGAAACAGCCACUAAUAAUUACUUAGGAAAUAGUCAAGCCAAUAACUCCUGCAGAACUGUUUUCAUCUUUGCCUCUUGUACAGGGGAAAUCCAAGCCAAUUAAGAUUUUAUCAAGGCUGACACUAGUGGUUUCUGAUCCAUCCGACUGCAACAUUCUAGUAAGUUUGUAAAGCUGUUUUUGCAAGCUGCUUUGCUUCACAAUCCUUUCUUAAGGAAGGGGUGUGUGAUAUGUCUUGCCGCUUGGUAAUAAGAGGGAAUAGCUGAAGGCUGUUUUCGCUUUCUCAUAUUGGUGACCAGUGGAACUCUAUUCCACUAGAAAUAGGAAAGGG